AUACGGAGGAUGCGAGCGUUAUCCGGAUUUAUUGGGUUUAAAGGGAGCGUAGGUGGGAUAUUAAGUCAGCUGUGAAAGUUUGGGGCUCAACCUUAAAAUUGCAGUUGAUACUGGUUUCCUUGAGUACGGUACAGGUGGGCGGAAUUCGUGGUGUAGCGGUGAAAUGCUUAGAUAUCACGAAGAACUCCGAUCGCGAAGGCAGCCUACCGGACCGGAACUGACACUGAUGCUCGAAAGUGCGGGUAUCAAACAGGAUUAGAUACUCUGGUAGUCCGCACAGUAAACGAUGAAUACUCGCUGUUUGCGAUACACUGUAAGCGGCCAAGCGAAAGCGUUAAGUAUUCCGCCUGGGGAGUACGCCGGCAACGGUGAAACUCAAAUGAAUUGACGGGG
rnacentral:rRNA from 1 species